GUCAGCACAAACCGGAACCUUACUCGCUACACAAGGGGUGUUGAUGUCGGGGGAAACCCUCCCGUUUCGAUGCGGGAUAGAGCGAAAGACAAUGACCGGAAAACGACUAAAGCGCCCCAGCGGGCGCUUUAGUUUU
rfam:Enterobacter cloacae S611 EDP2.NODE_1801, whole genome shotgun sequence.